UACAGAGACUGCAAGCGUUAUUCGGAUUCACUGGGCGUAAAGGGCGCGUAGGCGGCUCAUGAAGGCUGUGGUGAAAGUCCGGGGCUCAACCUCGGAUCGGCCGUGGCGACUCGUGGGCUGGAGCACUGUAGAGGCGGGUGGAAUUCCGGGUGUAGCGGUGGAAUGCGUAGAGAUCCGGAAGAACACCAGUGGCGAAGGCGGCCCGCUGGGCAGUGGCUGACGCUGAGGCGCGACAGCGUGGGGAGCAAACAGG
rnacentral:rRNA from 1 species